rnacentral:rRNA from 1 species
GUGCCAGCAGCCGCGGUAAUACGUAGGGUGCAAGCGUUGUCCGGAAUUAUUGGGCGUAAAGAGCUCGUAGGCGGUUUGUCGCGUCUGGUGUGAAAAUCCAGGGCUUAACCCUGGACCUGCAUCGGGUACGGGCAGACUAGAGUGCGGUAGGGGAGAUCGGAAUUCCUGGUGUAGCGGUGAAAUGCGCAGAUAUCAGGAGGAACACCGGUGGCGAAGGCGGAUCUCUGGGCCGUAACUGACGCUGAGGAGCGAAAGCAUGGGGAGCGAACAGGAUUAGAUACCCUGGUAGUCC